UACAGAGGGUGCAAGCGUUGUUCGGAAUUACUGGGCGUAAAGGGCGUGUAGGCGGCUUAGCAAGUCAGAUGUGAAAUCCCGGGGCUUAACUCCGGAAGUGCAUUUGAAACUGCUAGGCUAGAGUGCUGUAGAGGAUGGUGGAAUUCCCAGUGGAGAGGUGAAAUUCGUAGAUAUUGGGAGGAACACCGGUGGCGAAGGCGGCCAUCUGGGCAGCAACUGACGCUGAGGCGCGAGAGCGUGGGGGAGCAAACAGG
rnacentral:rRNA from 1 species